GCUCGAGUGGCGAACGGGUGAGUAACACGUGAGUAACCUGCCCUUGACUUUGGGAUAACUUCAGGAAACUGGGGCUAAUACCGGAUAGGAGCUCCUGCUGCAUGGUGGGGGUUGGAAGGUUUCGGCGGUUGGGGAUGGACUCGCGGCUUAUCAGCUUGUUGGUGGGGUAGUGGCUUACCAAGGCUUUGACGGGUAGCCGGCCUGAGAGGGUGACCGGCCACAUUGGGACUGAGAUACGGCCCAG
rnacentral:rRNA from 1 species